rnacentral:lncRNA from 1 species
CAAAGACACCAGACCAUAUGUUAUAUAAUCCCCCGAUUGAUUAUCAAGACUUAUCAAUUACACCAGACAAAAUGUAAUACAAUCCACCGAUUGCUUAACAUGUCUGUCGCAAUGACAACAUAAAAUAUGCAAUAUAAUCCAUCGAUUGAUUAUGCUGUAUGUCUCAAUGACACCAGACAACAUAUGAUACAAUCCCCUGAUUGAUUAGUCUGUCCGUUUCAAGGACACCAAGUAACAUAUAAUGUAUUUCACCAUUUGAUUAUGCUGUCUGUCUCAAUGACAUCAGACAACAUAUAUAAUAAAAAAAAAUUAUUAUUCUGUCCGUCGCAUUGAUACCAGGUAACACAAUGUAUUUCACCAUUUGAUUAUGCUGUCUGUCUCAGUGACACCAGAAAUACAUCGAUUGAUUAUCAUGUUUGUCUUCAUGACGUCAGACAAUAUAUAGUAGAGCAACGUUUUUGAAAACAACAGAGAGAGAGGGCAUCACUACUGUUGUACAUUUUAAUAAAACACCGUUAUACAGAAUUAAGAAAAAACAAAAACAUAACUGUAUCAAUGCUGUUUACAGUUUAGAAUUAAAAUUCAUGCAAACAAAUGGAGUUAAAAUUCAUUGAACG